GAUGAACGCUGGCGGCGUGCCUAAUACAUGCAAGUCGAGCGAACAGACGAGGAGCUUGCUCCUUUGACGUUAGCGGCGGACGGGUGAGUAACACGUGGGUAACCUACCUAUAAGACUGGGAUAACUUCGGAAACCGGAGCUAAUACCGGAUAAUAUUUCGAACCGCAUGGUUCGAUAGUGAAAGAUGGCUUUGCUAUCACUUAUAGAUGGACCUGCGCCGUAUUAGCUAGUUGGUAAGGUAACGGCUUACCAAGGCAACGAUACGUAGCCGACCUGAGAGGGUGAUCGGCCACACUGGAACUGAGACACGGUCCAGACUCCUACGGGAGGCAGCAGUAGGGAAUCUUCCGCAAUGGGCGAAAGCCUGACGGAGCAACGCCGCGUGAGUGAUGAAGGUCUUCGGAUCGUAAAACUCUGUUAUUAGGGAAGAACAAACGUGUAAGUAACUGUGCACGUCUUGACGGUACCUAAUCAGAAAGCCACGGCUAACUACGUG
rnacentral:rRNA from 1 species